UUGGGUGUGACACUGUAAGCUGCUCAAACUUCCCCAAACUGAGGGAAAAGAGGUAGGAGAGCAGAGGAUCGUUCCGGGUGCGCACUCGGGUCUCCUUGAAUAAGUCCAGUACGGGGCCAGAAAUGUGAAACUUGACGCCAGGACACUAACUAAAGCCUAACCGGCAGAAGGAUAUGCACACCCUGAUGUUUUGGAAACCUGACUCCAGGGCACCCUCUGAGCUGUGUGCACGUUCUGGGUCUGGGGUCCCGCUGGGACUGUUGGGCUCAGCAACUCGCUGGACCUGCUGAGACCUUUAGCGUGGGAGCGUCUGCUUCUAAGGGAUGAUUUCACCUUUUUUUGUCUCUCCCCGGCACCGACUCGAAUGACAUCAUAAACAUCCUGUCACUCUCGGCACACGGCCCGGCUAUCACACGCUCACGUGUUUGACAGACAGAAGGCCUCCUUUACAUGCCAUGACUGCAACAUCUUAGCAGAAACAAAGGUCACAGGAUUGCAGUAAUAUCCAGCUGGAAUCUGGGCCAAUCAGAAACGGAGCUGUGAGACCUGCAAAGGGAAGAUGCUGCCCAUCAAGACAGGGCAAAGAAGGGGAAGCAAGCAGGGGUGGGAGGCAAGUAGAAGACUAUAAGGACACGGAGAAGUAUGACAGAGACCUGGAACUGACAGCAGCUGUGCUGUGAUUGGUUAAAAGGCUGGCCAGGCUGCUCCUGAUAGGUUGCAGCUGAGGAGGGGGAGAGUAACCCUCUUUUGACUCAGUCAAGGGGAAUCAAAAGAAAUAAAAACAUUUAUCCAUAUCGGAGUCAAUGGUUUAUAAUGUUUGUUAGCAGAUCACUAGAGAGUUGAUUUUAAAGUUCUGCUUCUUGUUUAUAAAUAACUUAACGGCUCAUGACCAAAAUACACGUCUGACAUGCUCGAGGAGUACAAACCUGGCAGGCCGUUUCGCUCACUUGGGACAAGUCAGCUAGUUGUACCUAAUGUUAAAUCCAAACAUGGUGAGGCAGCGUUUAGCCGCUCUGCUCCGCACAGAUCUGACAUGUAAUACAUCUGUAGUCCAAACUAAAAGCUCACCUGCUCUCUUGUACCUUUUGAUUAGAUUAUUACUGUUUUCUACUUUCAAUUAUUUAUUUUAUUUCCUCUGAUUUAUUUACACUGCUGUUUAGUCUUGAAAGUGUCUCACUUCUCUUUUAAUUGUCUU